AUUCUGUGUGUUACAUAUAUCUGAAAGUUACUGAAUACAUAUUCUGUUUUGUUACAUAUAUCUGAAAGUUACUGAAUACAUAUUCUGUUUUGUUACAUAUAUCUGAAAGUUACUGCAUAAGAAUUCUGUUUUGUUAACUAUAUCUAAGUUACAACUGAAAGCUCUUAUUUUUGCCCCAAAGAGUGAAUAAAUGCUAUAAUGCAAUUUAAAAUGCAGUUUCUACUGUUUCUAUCAAAUUGCAACCCCCCUCCCCCAAGAUCAGGUGGAGGGGUCCUCAGGGUAGAUCAAAAAUAUGCAGGGGGUCCAGGACCCCAAAAAGGUUGAGAACCACUGCUCUACAGCAUAGGGCAAACCAACACAGGCACUGAAAAGACAAUUAAUAACACAUGCACACACACAGAUGCACACAUACUACAUAAAUGAACGCAGGCGCACAAACAAGAAAUGUUAACAAGCUUACAGUCUCUGAUCAGCCCAAAUCUGUAAAAGCAAACUAUUGUCAAUGAUCCCCUCAGAAUCCCACUGAGCCUAGAGAUUGGGUUUCCCAGGUGUGUGCCCAUAUAACAGUUGGCUGCCACAAAGCCUGCAUCAUGAUUGCCCUGUCUCAGCUCCACAUUGGAAUCCCAUACACACGUAGUGCACCACUCAAAUAUUCAAGGUCAGUUGAGCAUUUGGUUGCUGGUAACUCAAAGGAAACAAAGCCUUGUGCAAAUUUUUCCACCUCCCAAAUCAAUUUUAUAGAAGUGAAGAAAUUCAAUGAAGUGCAGGCAAACAGCUUGAGUAACUAUGACUCUCUUAAGGUAGCCAAAUGCCUCGUCAUCUAAUUAGUGACACGCAUGAAUGGAUCAACGAGAUUCCAACUGUCCCUACCUACUAUCUAGUGAAACAACAGCCAAGGGAACGGGCAUGGCAGAAUCAGCGAGGAAAGAAGGCCCUGUUGAGCUGGACUCUAGUUUGCUACUGUGAAGAGACAUGAGAGGUGUGAACUACCACUACUCUUAUUAUUUUUUUACUUACCCAGUGAGGCGGGGAGACGAGCCUCGAGCGGGCUCUCAUUUCUGGCGUCAAAUGGCCGGCCUCCGCCGGUUGCGACCCGCUCUGGGUACAAUGGCAGGUGGGGAGUUUGACUGGGGCGGUACACCUGUCAAACGGUAACGCAGGUGUCCUAAGGUGAGCUCGGGGAGGACAGAAACCUCCCGUGGAGCAGAAGGGCGAAAGCUCGCUUGAUCUUGAUUUUCAGUAUGAAUACAGACCGUGAAAGCGGGGCCUCACGAUCCUUCUGAUUUUUUGGGUUUUAAGCAGGAGGUGUCAGAAAAGUUACCACAGGGAUAACUGGCUUGUGGCAGCCAAGCGUUCAUAGCGACAUGACUUUUUGAUCCUUCGAUGUCGGCUCUUCCUGUCAUUGUGACGCAGAAUUCACCAAGCGUUGGACUGUUCACCCACCAAUAGGGAACGUGAGCUGGGGUUAGACUGUCGUGAGACAGGUUAGUUUUACCCUACUGAGGAGGGAUCCUGGCCCCUCAGGUGCCGGGCGCACCACUGGCCCACCUCGCCCACACCGUCGGAGAGGUGGCGCAUGAGUGCGUGCAAUAGGACCCAAAAGAUGGUGAACUAUGCCUGGGCAGGGCGAAGCCAGAGGACACUGGAGGAGGCUUGCAGUGGUCCUGACAUGCCAAUUGGCCGUCCAAUAGGGGCAAAAGACUAAUCAAACCAUCUCAUAGCCAACCACCCCACCUCAACCUCUUCUCUCCUCCUGCCAUCUCUCUCUCUCCACCCGAAUAAUAGGGAGUAGGAAUCAGCCCGGGGUGGU
rnacentral:rRNA from 1 species